AGCGAACGCUGGCGGCAGGCCUAACACAUGCAAGCCGAACGAACUCUUCGGAGUUAGUGGCGGACGGGUGAGUAACACGUGGGAACGUGCCUUUUGGUUCGGAAUAACUCAGGGAAACUUGUGCUAAUACCGAAUGUGCCCUUCGGGGGAAAGAUUUAUCGCCAUUAGAGCGGCCCGCGUCUGAUUAGCUAGUUGGUGAGGUAACGGCUCACCAAGGCGACGAUCAGUAGCUGGUCUGAGAGGAUGACCAGCCACACUGGGACUGAGACACGGCCCAGACUCCUACGGGAGGCAGCAGUGGGGAAUCUUGCGCAAUGGGCGAAAGCCUGACGCAGCCAUGCCGCGUGAAUGAUGAAGGUCUUAGGAUUGUAAAAUUCUUUCACCGGGGACGAUAAUGACGGUACCCGGAGAAGAAGCCCCGGCUAACUUCGUG
rnacentral:rRNA from 1 species